rnacentral:rRNA from 1 species
UACGUAGGGGGCAAGCGUUGUCCGGAUUUAUUGGGCGUAAAAGGCUUGUAGGUGGCCACGCCAAGUCGGAUGUGAAAUCUCCCGGCUCAACUGGGAGGGGUCAUUCGAUACUGGCGGGCUCGAGGCCGGUAGGGGGAAGUGGAAUUCCCGGUGUAGUGGUGGAAUGCGUAGAUAUCGGGAGGAACACCAGUGGCGAAGGCGGCUUCCUGGAC